ensembl:lncRNA
AUGGAUAUUACCGUCAUGAAAAUCGUUUUACUAUGGAUACUACUCUGCUUAUCGGCAUUUGGAAUUGGGGAUUGUUUAUCAGGCCGUCAAGACUAUCUCACCUACACCCGUGAGCACCUGUUCUCUCUGCGGGGAAUCGGUGUAGUUCCACCAACUCUUCCUGUCGACUGUAUGGAAAUCCGUCGGCCUGCCGAAUGGCCAGAGAGGAGAAAGAAAGCAAAGAAAAAGCGAGGCUCAAGAGGAGGUGUGAGGCACCGACUUUGGAGACGCGGUAAUAGAUUCCCAUUGCCUGUCAUUACUUUGACUAACGUUCGAUCGGUAAGUAACAAACUUGAUGAACUGGCAUUGAGAGCGGAACAUGAUUGUGAAUUUAGACAGAGCAACCUUGUGUGUUUGACGGAAUCAUGGCUUAAAGACUAUCAUGAUACUCCAACCCUGCCUGGGUACACCACCAUAAGAGCAGACAGAAAUGAGCGUAGCUCACGCAAGUCAAUCGGAGGAGGGCUGUGUUUAUUUGUUGACAAUCGCUGGGCUACACAGUAUUGCGUUCGGGAGCAGGUGUGCACACCGGACUAUGAAUUAUUGACUGUAACUUUCCGACCAUUCUACCUCCCGCGAGAGUUCGGUCAAAUUACUAUUAUUCUUGUGUAUGUGCCCGGACCGAACGACGCAGCAGCGGGUGAAAAAAUAACAGAGAGCUAUAAUGAUGCACUCGCCCGCUCCGCAGAUCAGCCUGUCUUGGUCCUCGGGGAUUUCAAUUUAUGUAACUUGUCUACACAUCUGCCCACUGUUCAUCAAUAUGUUGACUGUACCACACGGUUAAACCGGACCCUUGACCGCUGCUAUGGAAAUAUCCCUGAGGCAUAUAAAGCAGUGUGUAGACCACCCCUAGGCAAAUCCGAUCAUAAUGUAAUUCAUUUAUUGCCUAAAUAUAAAGCUAUGCUCAAAAGGACAAAACCAGUUAUCAAGCAGAUACAGACGUGGUCUGGAACAAAUAAAGAUCAACUCAGGGACUGUUUUGACAACACAAACUGGGACACCUUCUUCGAAUCCUGCCAGGAUGGGAAUGAACUUACGGACACUUUAACAACAUAUAUUAAGUUUUGUGAGGACUGUGUGUCUGAAACAAAGACUAUUAGAAUAUUCCCAAAUAACAAACCCUGGGUUUCCAAACAAUUAAAAACCUGCCUUAAUGAAAGAAAGAUUGCCUUUUGUUCAGGCAACAUGGAAUUAGUUCAGGAAAAAAGGAAACAAUUAAGGGGGGAUAUCCUAAAGGCAAAAACUGAAUAUAAAAACACAAUAGAGAGAAAAUUUUUUAGUGGGAAUAUAAAACAGGCUUGGGAGGGCUUAAAUAUUUUAAUGGGAAAAAGUUGCAAUAAAAGCAACAGUUCUGUAGCUUGCAGUCAAAGUCUUGUAGAUGAAAUGAACACGUUCUUCUGCAGGUUUGAUACUGUGGAUGAUAAGGAUGAGUGUGAUGACAUCUGUAAAAAUCUUCCCAUAAGUUCACCUAUAUUUAUCACAGAAGACGCUGUUGCUAAAAGCCUCACUAAAUUAAAGCCGAAUAAGGCCACCGGCCCAGAUGGCCUAAAAGCCCGCCUACUUAAAGACUGUGCCUCACAAUUAAAAGGUGUUUUCACAAGGCUUUUUAACUUUCUUCUAGUUGCAGGGGUACCCACAUCUUGGAAAUUUUCUUUCAUAAGGCCGAUACCUAAAAAGCCUGGUGCAAGUAAGCCUGAAGAUUUUCGACCCAUAGCUAUCACCUCCAUAUUAUGUAAAACAAUGGAGAGGGUCCUGGUAGAUCUCUUGACCUCCCAAGUAACCAGCGUGAUAGAUCCGCUGCAGUUUGCUUAUAGAAGUAACAGAGGGACAGAUGAUGCUGUGCUGGUCCUUUUAGACUUUAUUUCAAAACAGCUUGCACUCCCUAAAGGGUAUGCUAGAGUCUUAUUUAUAGAUUUUAGUGCAGCAUUUAAUUCUAUGAAGUUACAUAUUCUCCUGCAAAGACUAGCUAAUAUUAAUAUAGAUAACAGCUUGAUUCUCUGGAUCAGAGAUUUCCUCUCCUGUCGUACUCAGAUGGUAAGUGUAAACGGCCUUUUGUCUGGAGUGCAUACCAUUAGUACAGGUUGCCCACAAGGCAGCGUUCUUUCACCUAUGCUUUUUUCCUUAUUUACAAAUGAUUUUAAUAUAAACAAUAGCACUUUUAAAUUGAUAAAAUACGCAGAUGAUAUGGCCUUAGUAGGACUCUUACAAAAAACGAACCCCUUGGAUGAAGCCUCUUAUCUUACACAGGUAAAGGCCCUUGAAGCAUGGUGCAAAGAUAGCGAGCUAGAAAUUAAUGUGGCAAAGACAAACGAGCUACUUUUUUGCAAAAAACAAGACAUAAUAACAGAGCCAGUUUUACUUAAUGGUCAAGUAGCUGAAACUGUGGAAACUUUUAAAUAUCUAGGUACGGUUCUUGAUAACCACCUGAGUUUUACUGAUAAUACAGAAUUUAUCUUUAAGAAAUGCUCACAACGACUCAGUCUUCUUAGACGACUGAAUAGCCUGGGGGUCAGUGCUCAGAUUAUCGAGCUUGUGUAUAUCACACAUAUUGAAAGUGUUUUAACUUUCCAUCUCUCUGCUUGGUUUGACCAUUUAAACUGCAAGCUUAAGAAAAAGCUCAACAGGAUAGUGUCAAUGGCUAGUAAAAUAGUAGGAAAACCACAAAAACCACUGUCCCAAAUAUACAUUGACAGAACGAGGAAGAAAGCUAGGAAAAUCACUGUAGAUAGUACUCACCCCCUCUCUAGCGAGUUUGAGCUUCUGAAGUCUGGGAGGCGCCUCAGAGUGCCUCUGGCUAAAAGUACUUAUAAAAAAUCAUUUAUCCCAAAUGCCAUUAGUAUUCUUAACCAAACAAAGUAA